rnacentral:rRNA from 1 species
CUGUCCUACGGGACGCAGCAGUGGGGGAUAUUGCGCAAUGGGGGAAACCCUGACGCAGCAACACCGCGUGAAUGUUAAGCCCUUCGGGGUGUAAAGUUCUGUCAAUAGGGACGAAUUUUGACUGUACCUAUAAAGGAAGCACCGGCUAACUCCGUGCCAGCAGCCGCGGUAAUACGGGGGGUGCAAGCGUUGUCCGGAAUCAUUGGGCGUAAAGCGUCCGUAGGCGGUAUGUCAAGUCUGAUGUUAAAGCCCGGGGCUCAACUCCGGUUCGGCAUUGGAUACUGGCAAACUAGAAUGUGGUAGAG